rnacentral:rRNA from 1 species
ACCGGCGCACGGGUGCGUAACGCGUAUGCAACCUACCUUAUACUGGGGAAUAGCCCGAAGAAAUUCGGAUUAAUGCCCCAUAGUACUUAUGACUCUCCUGAGUUAUAAGUUAAAGCUUCGGCGGUAUAAGAUGGGCAUGCGUCCUAUUAGCUAGUUGGUAAGGUAACGGCUUACCAAGGCAACGAUAGGUAGGGGGCCUGAGAGGGUGAUCCCCCACACUGGUACUGAGACACGGACCAGACUCC